rnacentral:misc_RNA from 1 species
AAAAUAUAUAUCGAAUUUUACUUCUUAGACUUCAUAUAGUCGUAUGUUCUUGUUGUAAUAGAUUGUUGAGUCAUCCUAUAGAGUGUGGAUUCGAGAUUUUAAUCUCGAGACGUUUCAACAUUUUUAAGCUUUUUAGUAUUGAAUUCGACGUAGCUUUGAAAUUAUGGGUUCAAAACUUGAUAUUUGUUGAAACUAUUGAGU